CACACACUGCCAGGUAACACAUACACUGCCAGGUAACACACACACUGCCAGGUAACACACACACACACUGCCAGGCAACACAUACACUGCCAGGUAAUACACACACACACUGCCAGGUAACACACACACACUGCCAGGUAACACACACACUGCCAGGUAACACAUACUGCCAGGUAACACAUACACACACUGCCAGGUAACACACACACACACUGCCAGGUAACACACACACACACUGCCAGGCAACACAUACACUGCCACAUAACACAUACACACACUGCCAGGUAACACAUACACACUGCUAGGUAACACAAACACACACUGCCACAUAACACACACACACACACACUGCCAGGUAACACACACACACACUGCUAGGUAACACAUACACACUGCAAGGUAACACACACACUGCUAGGUAACACAUACACACACUGCCAGGUAACACAUAAACACACUGCCAGGUAACACACACACACACACACACACACUGCCAGGUAACACACACACACUGCCAGGUAACACACACACUGCCAGGUAACACAUACUGCCAGGUAACACAUACACACACUGCCAGGUAACACACACUGCCAGGUAACACACACACACUGCCAGGCAACACAUACACUGCCACAUAACACAUACACACACUGCCAGGUAACACAUACACACUGCUAGGUAACACAUACACACACUGCUAGGUAACACAUACACACACACCGCCAGGUAACACAUACAAACACACACUGCCACAUAACACACACACACACACUGCCAGGUAACACAC